GACGAACGCUGGCGGCGUGCUUAACACAUGCAAGUCGAACGGAAAGGCCUCUUUCGUGGGGUACUCGAGUGGCGAACGGGUGAGUAACACGUGAGUAACCUGCCCUUGACUUUGGGAUAACUUCAUUAAACUGGGGCUAAUACCGGAUAGGAGCUCCUUCUGCAUGGUGGGGUUUGGAAAGUUUCGGCGGUUGGGGGUGGACUCGCGGCUUAUCAGCUUGUUGGUGGGGUAGUGGCUUACCAAGGCUUUGACGGGUAGCCGGCCUGAGAGGGUGACCGGCCACAUUGGGACUGAGAGACGGCCCAGACUCCUAAGGGAGGCAGCAGUGGGGAAUAUUGCACAAUGGGUGGAAGCCUGAUGCAGCAACGCCGUGUGCGGGAUGACGGCCUUCGGGUUGUAAAACGAUUUCGCUCAUGACGAAGCUUUGUGUGACGGUAGUGGGUAAAGAAGCACCGGCUAACUACGUG
rnacentral:rRNA from 1 species